rnacentral:piRNA from 1 species
UAUUCUAUGUACAAAAGAGUCCUUGGUGGG